AUUCUGGUCGGUCAUCAACACAGGAUACUGGAAGAUUCAGAGGAUGAUGAUGUGUUGAAUCGAUGUUGAUGAAGACUAUAUUUUGGAAACUUCAGUUAGAGCCAAAGAAUGUUUCCAUUGCGAAGCAGAGGACAUAAGAUCAAAAUAGCCACUGUCUUCUUGGGCUUUACUGACUGCAAAAAUAGAAGAUCUGCUGAGUGUUGA
rnacentral:lncRNA from 1 species